rnacentral:piRNA from 1 species
CAGAGUGUAGCUUAACACAAAGCACCCAACUG